CCCUUAGAUGUUCUGGGCCGCACGCGCGCUACACUGAUGCAUUCAACGAGCCUAUCCUUGACCGACAGGUCCGGGUAAUCUUUGAAUCUGCAUCGUGACGGGGAUAGAUUAUUGCAAUUAUUAAUCUUCAACGAGGAAUGCCUAGUAAGCGCGAGUCAUCAGCUCGCGUUGAUUACGUCCCUGCCCUUUGUACACACCGCCCGUCGCUCCUACCGAUUGGAUUGGCUGGUGAAGCGUUCGGAUUGUGGGUUCGGAGCGGUUCGCCGUUCUGGGCUUGCGAGAAGUUCGUUAAACCCUCCUAUCUAGAGGAAGGAGAAGUCGUAACA
rnacentral:rRNA from 1 species